UUAUGAUGAGGAAACUGAGGCAAACAGGUUAAAUGAGUUGCUCAGGAUCACACAGCUGGUAAAUGUAUGAGACCAGAUUUGGACUCAUUGUAAUAAAUGUUUGAGAAAUGAAUUAAUGCCUUGUUCUUUGUUUACAUGAUGGGAAUGAAAGAGGUCAGGUGAGCAUAGUUCUUACUUCUCUGGGCAUGGAAUCUAUCUAUAUAUCAGGAUAUAAUAAAGUAUCACAUACCCAAUGAGUUCUCAAUCAGUACUAAUUGAUGUUGUUUAAUGGUAUCAAUUGCACUGGCAACAUCUCUAGCCUCCCAGUCACCUUUUUAUGCCAAUUUAUUUAACAUAUAUGUGUGUGUGUAUAAUACAUAUAAAUGUAUAUGUAUGUAUGUGUGUAUGUGCUAUUAGCCAUCUGUUUGGUACAGUUCCAAAGACAGAAAAACAGACAAUACAAAUAGAUUUUGUUUUGAAUAAUUCCAACUAAUUAUUCAUCAUGAAGCAAUAUUUGGGAAGGAUAGAACUGCUGGAUUUACUUACCCUCAAUAAAAAUUGAGACAUAGUAUAUCUUCCCUGAAGAAAAAUUGUCCUACCAUGACAAAAUUAACAAUUCUGAAACCUUUCUUCCCCACCUGGAAGGUUGCCAUUUCAAUUCAAAUGAGCACAUUUGGGAAGAGAAUGCUGCAGUGAGACUCAGAUAAAGCCGACUAAGAUUUUGCAACCACAAAGAAACCAGGUUUCCUUGCCAACUCUCAGUCUUCAUGUCUUGUUUAGCAGCCAGUUCUAUGUUCAAGAAUAAGAAAUGGUAGGCGGAUGACAUAAAAAAUCCAACAUGUUUCUAUUAAAAUGGAAUGAUUAAACUUCAUCCAUUAGGAAUGAGUUUACAUUUUAGAAAUAGCCCCAAAUAAUUUAGAACCUCAUCUGGUAAAUAAGAGGGUGGUGGUGGUGGUGGUGGUGAUCAAAGUGAUCAAAACAAGGUGGGAAUAUAAAAUAAUGAAACUGAGUGUAAUGGAAUUCUAUUGUGCCUUAAGAAAUGAUGAGUCAGUUUCAGAGGAACCUGGAAAGACUUGUAUGAAAUGAUCCAAUAUACAGAAUAACCAGGAGAAGAAUUUAUACAGCAAUAACAACAUGGUAAAGACAAAGAGUUUUGAAAGGCUUUCAGAAUGCUUAUCAACACCUAACCACAAUUUCAAAGAACCAUUGUUGAAAUAAGCUACCCACCUCCUGACCAAGAGGUAAAUAGACUCAAGAUGCAGGAUGAGAUACAUUUCUAGACAUAUCCAAUGGGGGAAUUUGUUUCACCAAAUAUACAUUUGUAACAAAGGUUUUGUUUUUCUUUUUUGUUCCCAAUCUAUUUUCCCUCAUAUGUUUAGGAUCCCCUUUUGUGCAUAUAUAUAUAUAUAUAAAUUAUUAUUAUUAUUAGCUUAUUUGUUGGUUUCCUAAUUUUUGAAAAUGCAUAUUUGGUUCACUAGUCCUCUUCUAUAUUUUGUUAAUGGAUGUUUUAGGGAUGUAAUUUUCCCCUCAGGGCUAUUUUAAAUGCAUCCCCCCAAAUUGGCAUGUUGUUUCAUAAUUAUAAUUUUCUUUUAUAUGAUUGUUUCUAUGAUUUGUUCUUUGUGCCACUCAUUAGUUGUUCUUUGUACCACUCAUUAUUUCAUUGUUGACUCCAUUUAGUGUGUCUUUUGUUUGUGAUUCCUGAAAUGGUUAGCAUUUUUAUUAUAUUAUGGUCUGUAAAGCAUGUAUUCUCUAUUUCUACUUUUUUGUAUUUGUUGGCAAUAUCUUUGUGCCUUAACACAUGGUUAAUUUUUUUUUAAUUCCAUAUAGUACUGAAAGAUAUGUUUAUUCUUUUGCAUUCCAUUUAGAAGAUGCCAUAAGUUUUUGAAACACUAGUUUGCCCAGCAAUUUGUUCAAUUUUGGAUUUUCCCUUUUGUUUAUUUUUCUAUUAAUUUGUCCAAAAUGUAGAGAAGAAUAUAUUGUGUUCUUGCCUAUGACUUCUUAUAAUUCAGUGAAUUUUCCCUUUGUGAAUACAAGUACCUAGACAUUUGGAGCACAUAGGUUUAAUGUUGAUGAUGGUUUGUUUUCUGUUGUUCUUUUCAACUUAAUGUAGUUUCCUUGUUUAUCUCUAUGUUGUAGAUUUUUGUUUUUGCUUUGUCUCAUAAGCAUGAUUGCAACUCCUACUUUUUGGAUUCACUUGAUGCAUAGUCAGGUUUUUUUCCCUAGUCCUUCAUUUUUAUUCUAUUUAUUUCCUUGUUUUUUAGGUAUGUUUCUUUCUUUUCUUUUUUUUUUUUUAGUGAGGCAAUUGGGGUUAAGUGACUUGCCCAGGGUCACAUAGCUAGUAAGUGUUAAGUGUCUGAGUCCGGGUGUGUUUCUUAUAAGUGAUAGAUUGUGAAGCUUUGUUUUCUUCUCUAAUCUGUCACUAUAUUUUGUUUUAUUGGAUUGUAUAAUUCAUUCCAAAUUCAAA